GAUCUACUCCCUCCGUUCCGAAUUACUUGUCUUGGAUUUAUCUAGAUACGGAUGUAUCUAGACUCAUUUUAGUGCUAGAUACAUCCGUAUCUAGACAAAUCAAAGACAAGUAAUUCGGAACGGAGGGAGUACACC
rnacentral:pre_miRNA from 1 species